GAACCAGGUCUCCUGCAUUGCAGGCAGAUUCUUCACUGUCUGAGCCACCAGAGAAGCCCAGAUGCUAUGUGAGCAGACACGAAAACAAAAUUAAUCUUAUUGUACAUCUCCAUCAGAGCUCUAGGGUGACCAGGCACAUCAUCAAUGAACAGUACUCUUUUGAAAGGAAUCUUUUUUCUUCACAGUAGGUAUACUCAUUGUUAAAUAAAAUAGAGAAGUUUAUAAUGAAGAAAAUAUAAGGCCCAUAAAAUUUCAUCAUCCAGAGAAACCAGUGUCAAUGAUGUUAAACAGUCAAUGGUAGCAGUUUUCUUUCUUGCUCCACAGGCCUCAUCUCCCUUCCCGCCCUGCCCCCCUACCCCAGAACCUCAG